CCAUGAACAGGAAAUUGUGCUGGGGCGAAAUACUUCCCUCGGGGAAUAAGUUUUCGCAGCUUUGUUCCGCACAUAAUUGUAAAAAUAUGCAUUUGACAAGACGGUAAUCCCAUAAAUGUACGCGCCACACACAGUGGAAGGUAAACAUAAGAUUAGUAUUUCACACAUAUUUAAUCGAAAACGUUAUGCGCGGCGGUUAAAAAAAUUCCCUAAUUAUAUCAGGAUCUAUGUACUGUACUACUGCAGUAGUAUUACUACUUCCUCUACUACGCAGUAUUUCCAUGUACUGCACUGCCUUUGUCUUCAGUGACUGUGUUUACAGUUUGUCGUUGAGCUCAACCUGAGGUGAGGCUCCUCUAAACUAUCGCACAGUAAAUAUCACGUGUAUUUGAACAUGUAUUGAAAUGCAGUUUGCAUCACUCAUUGGCUCCAGCAGCUGGAGGCUAGUAGUAGGUAGGAGGAGGGGGGAUGAGACAGCGGGAGGGGGAUGCAAGGUUGACUGCAAACCUUUUUUUCUCUCUCUGUUUUUGCAUGGGGGAGUUUAAAACGAGCAGAGAUCGUCGCUGAGUGAGUGAAAAAAAAAAGAAAAAAGUUUGGCUCCAACUUUGAGUUCGUCCUGUGCAGAAAAGCAGCAGCACUUGGUGUGUCAACGUGCUUUUUACUCUUCCCAGAUUGUUCACCACCAUGCCACCCAAGAGAGACGCAGGUGCGACUCCAGCACAGCCGCCCGUGAAGAUGAUAAAGAUCGAUAACGUUACAGAUGCACAAGAGUUUGGCUGUCAUUCAGGCGAGGAUAAGUUCAGGCUCCAUGAAGAGGCCAGCUACUCACCUUAUCCCAACAAUGACCUUGACACUAUUGAAUUUGAUGAAGAAAAUGUUGCAAGCCCGGGAAUCAGAACAGACACCAUCAGCCUUCUCAUGAAAAUAGAGCAGCUACAGGCACAACUGAAAUAUGAACGCAGAUGCAGAAUUUUGGCAGAGAGAGAGCUGAGGGAACUCAAAGAGAUGAACACUCUCAUGAUGCAGAUGAGGCACACGGCACAUGAACUGCGGGUCACCCUGGAUCAUGUUCUCCACGGAGGCGAAGCAGCAGUUGCGCCACAAAACUCUGAUGAAACUAUCUCUUUCCUGACUGAGCCUGAGGCAGAAAUGAGAGCACUUCAUAAUAUACCAGAGGAUGACCACAAUUUCCUCUAUCUCUCAGAGAAUCUUCGAGUGCCAAAAAAUCUUUAUGAGCGCAUUGCAGAAAUUGCAGACUACAAGAAGUACACUUCAGCCCUGCUCAUGAUACUUUUUGAUAGAGAAACGCUGGCAACCCACUCUCUGCAGGGCCGUAGGAAUACCUUUACAGGAGAGGAUUGCCACAAGCCACAGCUCCCACCUGAGAUUUUGAAAAGUUUAAUCGAUCAUGUGGCAGCCAAGUUCAGUGUUGACAGCAGCCAAAUAAAAACCGCAAUCCGCACAAAGUUGAACAAUGAGGAUAAAUUAUUGAAGAAGAGACUGGGGUUGGGUAAAACAGAAAACAGAGCUAAUGCUGAGCCAAGCUUUUGCCAAGAUGCCUCGCUUCUGCCCGACGACGGAGCAAUGACAAGUGACUCUCAGUUAUAGUCGUUCACCUCUGUCUUCGUCCGUUGGUCACACGUAUUUCAUGUCCGAUAGAAAUAGGUCACAGAUUGCCUUUUUUGUCCACUAUAGUUCAUUCAGCAUUAAAAUCUAGUUCUUUAUUUUUUAAGAAUGAUAAGUAUAUAUAUUUUUACGUUGACAGCAGUUAAUGUCUGUUAGAUUGUUUUCAGAGUGUCACCUGGUGGCCACACCCAGGCGUUUGAUAGCACUAUAAACUGCCGCAUAUGUAAUCAUUAAUACUGUAAACAAGUGUUCUUAGGUUUUCUUACUGUAUUUAAGAGAGUGGUUAUAGGUUAAUAACCUUUUAAGCUAGAAUCAGUCAGUCAGCUGACCUUUACAUGUGUAAGUAGGACAGGGAUCUCAUUUUUGCCCUGUUGUUCAUUCCAACUUGUGCAUUGCAGGUAAUAAUGUGUUUCAAGGUAUACUGUAUGUGAUAACUGUUUCAAAGUGUUUGUCAUGUGUUUUCUGUGCUUCACUCUAACAAACAAUAAAGUUUUGCAGCUG
ensembl:lncRNA